GGGAAAAGCAAUAAGCAUGUGAAGAAAACGUACAGUGGAUGUGGAACAUCAUUAGCUGGACCCUUGUGGCAAACCCAUGCCACCUUCCCGUCCUCCCUCUGUCCUGAGAGUCUGCCCCGAAGGGCUGUGGAAGCCCUCUGACUUCCUUUUGGAGGUCCGGGACGGCACGGCUCUGUUCUGACUCCACUCUGACUCCACCGAUAGCACCCUCUCCUUUGCCAUUCCCCAUGUAACUCGGGCCUCCUACGACCUUCCUAAUUCAAGGGCGCCAUCUGUUUCUCGCUGGGAUGCUCAUGUACACAGUAAACAUUUGUAACACUGUUUUUCAAAGAUUUGCUCAGUCUCAUGGAAGUAUCCAAAUACUGUAAACUCUGGCUUUGGAAAGUUUUCAAAGCCAACUGUACCAUCAGUAAUAAAGAUGAUCGAUUCCACUGACGAGACAAUGACAAUGUGGGAAAGUUG
rnacentral:lncRNA from 1 species